rnacentral:rRNA from 1 species
AUGCACGCUGGCGGCGUGCCUCAUACCUGCAAGUCGCGCGCACAGACGAGGAGCUUGCUCCUCUGACGUUAGCGGCGGACGGGUGAGUAACACGUGGAUAACCUACCUAUAAGACUGGGAUAACUUCGGGAAACCGGAGCUAAUACCGGAUAAUAUAUUGAACCGCAUGGUUCAAUAGUGAAAGACGGUUUUGCUGUCACUUAUAGAUGGAUCCGCGCCGCAUUGGCUAGUUGGUAAGGUAACGGCUUACCAAGGCGACGAUGCGUAGCCGACCUGAGAGGGUGAUCGGCCACACUGGAACUGAGACACGGUCCAGACUCCUACGGGAGGCAGCAGUAGGGAAUCUUCCGCAAUGGGCGAAAGCCUGACGGAGCAACGCCGCGUGAGUGAUGAAGGUCUUCGGAUCGUAAAACUCUGUUAUUAGGGAAGAACAAAUGUGUAAGUAACUAUGCACGUCUUGACGGUACCUAAUCAGAAAGCCACGGCUAACUACGUG